UCCCUGAUGGUCCAGUGGUUAGGACUCUGCGCUUUCACUGCCGAGGGUGUGGGUUCAAUCCCCAGUCAAGGAA
rfam:Ovis aries breed Texel chromosome 3, whole genome shotgun sequence.